rnacentral:rRNA from 1 species
UUGACCGUGCCAAAGGUAGCAUAAUCUAUUGUCUUUUAAUUAAAGGCUUGUAUGAAUGGUUGAAUGAGAUAUUAACUAUUUUUAUUUUAAUAAAAAUGAAUUUUAAUUUUUAGUAAAAAUGCUAAAAUAAAAAAAUUAGACGAGAAGACCCUAUAAAUCUUAAUUUUAUUUUUUAUAAUAUUAAUUUUGAAAAUUUUUAAUAAAUUAUAAAAAUAAAAUUUUAUUGGGAGGAUAAUGAAAUUUAAUAAACUUUUAUUUUUUUUUAUAAAUAUAAUUAAAUUAUUGAAUAUAUAAUUAUAAAAUAUUUAAAAAAUUAAGUUACUUUAGGGAUAACAGCGUAAUUAUUUUAAAGAGUUCUUAUCGAUAAAAUAGUUUGCGACCUCGAUGUUGAAUUAAGAAUUAAUGUACGCGUUCAGAAGUUGACA